AUCUUUGCACUUGGGGCAAUGACACAACUAACGAGGUUAUUACGGGAGCACGUCAAUUGCUUGUUGAAAACUAUUUCCAAAACCCCAAUUUGGCCCGGGUCUGCCCGUGCACCAUUGAGAAUUUCUUGAAGGCCCCCCCUCUAAUUGAGGGC